GGCUCCAUAGCUCAGUGGUUAGAGCAAUGGUCUCGUAAACCAAAGGUCGCAAGUUCGAUACUUGCUAAAGACU
rnacentral:tRNA from 1 species